rnacentral:lncRNA from 1 species
ACAAGAAAAGCAAGAGAAAAUCUUAGAGAGAUGGAGAGAGAUCUGGCACGAAGUAUGAAAAAAAACUGAACUGAAAGAGGUAACAAGGUGCUGUCUUUGCUCGAAGAGGAAACAGCUGGCAUGCUGACAUACCUGUAAUGGAUAUCUAACAAAUGCAGGUUCAAAACGAUCUGCACAAUACUUAUAAAACACUAUGGUGGAUACUGGAAGUACGAGAAGAAAUGGCGUAGCAAGAGCAGCUCUUUUGGUACUCAACAGUCCUAAUAGAAUCAGUUGAGAGAUAAUCAGAGCACAUACAAUGCGACCAUGGACAUCAGGCCAGAAUGCUGCACCACUUUCAUAUUCCUGGCUAUAAACAUUUACGAUCUGCAUUCAGAGAGAAUAGUGAUACAUCCCACAAAAGAAUAAUAAUGGAUAAGUGGAUAUAUAAGUUGAACAAUAGGUGCAAAUGGCAUUGGUCACAAGUCACAACUAGUAUCUACAUAUGAAUGGAUAUACUGACUGUACUAUUCCUUCUACUAUGAAAAGUAGUAGCUAAAGAUACCAAGUCUUUACCUGAUGACGGAACACAGCAUAAGCCAGGCCAAAGAAAACGAUUAUGAACAGAAGUAAAACUGGUGUAAUUGUAGAGUAUACAAAGCCCAGUAAGAUAUAAAGCUGUAUACGAGGCUCCCCAACAUGGAAACCAAUACUUCCUGGAGCCAUUGCCUCCUCCCUGUCCUUAUCAGUCUUCACUAGGAAGGUAUUCUUAAAGUGAUAUAGAAUCAGUGGCAGCAACAUUAAGAUCUCAGCAGCGAUACCAGCCCACCCAUCAACCAUUAUAUAUGUCAUGAAGAAAGUAGCUUUCAUUGGGAUUGCAAAGCCGAUUGUCUCUGGAAUGCUGCCAAAAAAACUUUAAGUCAAAAUUUAAAUGAUACUAGAAGAAAGUUUAUAUACUUUUAGUUUCAAAAUACAUACACAUUUGCUGAUUGGUGAAUUAAAGUAUAAAGCUGAUCAAAUGCUGAUCCGACAAAAAUGCUACCCAGGAAUACAUUCAUUAAAGAAAAGAGGUAGUAUCUAGACGCUACUCUCCUCUCAAGAGAAGACCGAGAAGGAUAACCCUCAAAUUUAGCCAUCAUCAUCAAUAUCAUUGGCAAAAAUAUCAAAAAUAACUUCAAUGCAAUUCCCGGUAGAAAGCCUGUCAUGACUGACUUGAUGAACUUCCUGCAUAUGUAUCAAGGUAAGAUUACUAACUAGUGCUAGUAAAAACUAGAUGCCAAGUCAAAAAGGUUCAAGGAAGAGAUAACUCACAGUUUGACAAUGGGAUUUAGGAAUGGAGCUUCUUUCUUAAGUCCCUCCACACUUGCAAGAGAUUGUACAAAUGCAAUGGGGAUCAAGGAAAACAAGGUGAGGAAAACAAAUGCAACACCCAUGAUGAGCCUCUUAACAGUGAGUUUCACAUAUGGAAUUGCCAGAUUUGGCCAAUAUACAUCACGCGGCUCUGGAGCCCAUUCAGUUAACCAAGUAGUUGGAUUUCUAGAUUGCUGAGUUUGCGCACAAACAGCAGCACCCCAUCUGCUUUUAAAGGACACAAAGGCAGCUGGCAUGAUAGACUUGGGAUCGUUUUUAACCCUCUCCCUUUCUUCAGGUAUCUGAGAAAAAAACAAUAAUGCAUUUGAAACAACCAAGAACAUGGCAGUAUAUAUUUGACAAAGAAAUGAAUAAACUGGUACGUACUUCCUUCUUCAUUUUCACAAUCUCAGAUUGAUAAUGUUCAAUUGCAUCAACUUUCUUUCCCCAAAGCCCAAGAAAACCAGUCUGAUAGUCGUAUAUGCACAUCCAGGUCAAAGAGAAAAUCAAAUAUCAACUUUAGAACUUGGAAACACUUUAGCAGUUAGUAGAAGAUCAAUUUAUUUACCUUAAUGAAGGGCCUCACUGAAGUUUUGCUUCUUUCAAGUUUGUUCUCGUAGUAGACAAGCCAGUUAUCCAUUUUUUUCUUCUUCUUUACCAAUUUUGCAAGCUUGUUGGCGUCGUAUACCACCUGCAAAUAGUUUUUUAACUGGAUCAAGUUUGAGAAAACACAAGACUUCUUUCUAAACAAACAAUUGUAUAGCUUCAGCAGUUCAAGGAUUAAGUAAAGAGGACGUUUCAAAAGCUCUAUCCUGGCAAAGAGAACAUAAUGAAAUAUGGAUACCUAUUCAAUAGGAAGUGUGUAUGGCUUGCCAGGAUAAAGAUACUGCAGAUACUGCAUUGUUGAUUUUGUAAACCCAAAACUUUCUCAUGUAAAAUCUCACAAAAAUGCAUUAGUGAAAUAAAGCUUUAAUAGGUUUAUAUACAAUGAUAACUCUCUUAAGCCUGUAAAUGAUAGCGUCUUAAAAUUCUAAUCGACAUUUUGUACUGUAUAAGAGCACAUAUUCUUUGGGAACAAACCUGAUGAGUAAGAUAAUGAUCUGGAUGGUUGGCCAGAAAAAAGUGCUCCACAACCUCACUUACAGAUUCCUCUGGAUCUGGUGGAACAUUUCUUACAAGGGCCUGUAAACAAUAAGCUAAUUUGGCUUGUAAGCAUGCCAUUGUGGAUUUUUAUCAUUUUUUCUGAAAGAUAAUGCAGAUGAACUCUGCUUGUAUCUGCCGUAUAGGCUAGCUAAACAUUCAAGAAUAUUUAUCAGCUAACCUCAAAUAUUAACGUCAGUUCUUAUGCUUACUACUUUAAAAUAUACAUGAUCACUAUAUCAAGCAAUUGACAUCAGUGCUCAAAUCUUAAUCUGAACUCUACUUAGGCACAAAGCAAUGAAGAUGAAAUGCUUAUUCUUAGCAUAUUCAUGAUAAGUAUAUCAACCAUUGACAUUGUGCUCAUGAGUUUCUUAUUUGAAUAAACACUGAUUUAAACUUAUAUGUAGAGGCAUUGAGUCAAUCUCACCGUAAAUUUAUCUGGUCGUCGUUUUUCUGUUGCAAGAAAAUGCAACCGCAUUGUGGCAACUUUCUCAUACUCCCUCAACAGCACACAACAUGUCCAAAAGGUGAAGGCAUACGCCAUCACUACAUGAGUCCACAAUCUGUCAAAUACAACCGCAUGAAUAUUGCAGUACUCAUUUGUCAGCAAGAUAUAAGAAACUUAUGCAUGAUUGAAUUCUUCAAAAUUUUCUACUGUCUUCAUGAAUUGGAUGUAAAUAACACCACAUAGGUAGACUAAAUACAGAGAGUAACAGUGGCAACAAUUAGAAAAUGAAUGCUACUAUGAUAUUUAGAAUUAUCCAACAAUCAUUUGUUCUACAAAAAGGCAGAAACUUUAUAGAGGCGGGUGUCUCACCUUUGAGAUCUAUAUGGGAUAUUUGAAAUAGAGAGCUUAUCAAUGUUUGUAGAAGUAAUAUUGGCUUGCUUGCCGGCUAUAUCCAAAGUGUUAUCUGUCCAGUUGAUCGGUAUCAAAAUAACCCAUGCAACAAAUGCUAUUGGAACAAAGAUUUUAAGCCUGCAUGAAUUCAACUACAUAAGGAGAAUAGAAUCAUCAACAUAAGCUAACAUCUUAGAAGUGAAGAACUAAAAUGACUUGCAUUUUCAAAAGAAUUAUGCAUAUAAUUAAGAAAAGAUCAAAAUAAAAGAGAACUUUGCAGCCUACCCCAUCAAGUAUAUCCUCAAGUAAACAGCAGAAUCCAAUCCUGCAUGAUCAAUAAGCUCCGGUUCCGGCAUCUUCAAUGCUUCCGGCACCCAAUUCAGAAACCUCACAUAUGACCUAUAGUCUAGAUUGACAAAUUUGCUCCCGAAUGUGCCAGAGCUUGUGGGACUGCCUCUCUCUCCCUUCAAAUACCAUUUCGCAAAGUACACUCUGUCGUUGCAAGGCUGAAGCCUGAGAAACGCAAAUAUUAUAAAGAAAACAAAAGCGCUGAGGAUGUUGAUGGCUGCUCCAACCCCUAUAUCCCAAAGUGUAGCCAUUUUGUUUUUAUAUUGUCACACUGAAAACUGCAUUACCCUAUGAAACGAUCAUGAAUUAGAACCAAAACGCACAAACUUACAAAUCGAACUAAAGCAAAGCAGAGCUCUCUGCUAUUGUUUCAAGUUAAUAAACCAAGAAAGAAGUUGAAGAUUCAGCUAGAGAUGGUGUAGAGCUAAAGCAAAGAGAGCAAAGACAGGACAAGAAAAGCUUACCUGGAACACAUGCAACUGUUGCUUCAAUCUGAGCCACUCGCAGAGAACAGACAUUAUAUCCACAACAACAACAACAACCACAACAACAACAACAACAAUAAUAAGAACAGUGACGAUGAUCGGAGACAUUAUUGGAGAUUGGUGGGGGCGAAAUUCGCCCCCCUUUUGGUUUUGGACUUGGGAAGGGGAAGACUGCGACAUUUUGCGGGAAAAGGCGGUUCGGUUCUUCACGCGCUUUACAAUGCGUUUGGGGGCCAAUCGCAUUGACGCAAAUCAGAAUCCGAGCAUCCGACACUACGUUGGUAAAAGUAAAAUUGUGACCCGAGUGAGAGAUCCCAUAACAGGGGCUGAAAGUAAUUUGGAUACAGCCUCUCUCCUCAAGGGGUGUAUGUCACAAGCUCGGAUUCACACUUGGUGCACGUUUGGUACUCGGAAUUAUAUUAAAUCUUUAUAUUUUUUUAAGACCGUCUUGUAUUUAUGUGGAGUACCUUAAGUUGUAUUAAUAUUAACUCAUGUUUGGUGUUGUUGUAUUAGAUUAGAGUGUAGUUUAUUUGAUUUAUAGUUUAGAAUGAUAGUGUUAUCUAAUAAUGACAUAUUUGAGUACCCAUAAUAACACCAUCUAAGGAGGCCAAAAUGAAAACAAGGUGUUACGUAAGCUCAUUUAUUUUAAUACCCAAUAACACCAAACACAGUACUAACUAAACUAGUCUUAUGAAAUAAACAUGCACACAGUGUAUCAACAUUUCGUCUCAGUUAGCAUGCUUUCACUAGUCACUAGACCAAUCUAGUCUGGUACCCUUGGUCUUUGGAAUUUGGAUUUUUCUCUGCCGAAUGUGACUCAAUAUUGAGUCCAAGAUUCGUUGAUUCCAAUAUUUGCUAUUGUACUCUUUGCCGACUUAUAACACAGUAUGUUCAUGCCUUUCCAGUCCAUUAAUACAGACUCAAUAUCUAAUUUGUUACAUGAAAGCUUGGAAAGUAGGAAUCCUGCCAUAUAUCAAAAGAAUAUGGACCUCGGAAAAACUCUCUUUCGAGCAAACGAUGAGGUCACACAAUCGGCUGUUCCAUCAAAGAGAUGGGAGAAAUUUGGAAAGUUCACACUACUAGACUAUGACGCUUCUUCUAUUAUGAUAUAUAAGUAGAUCAAUCAAUUUACACACCAGAGCAAAAAUCAGUCGCAUAAUUACACAGUUUGUCAACAGAUAGAGAAACAAAACCGACUUCCUUGCACACCAGCCUAGCCUCUAUGCCAAAAUAUGAAUUAAAGUAAUCUUUCAGCCGGCUGCAAACAAAACUCACAACUUGCUACGUAUAGUGGAAACUAUGCUCGACGGGGUUCCCUCUGUCCUCCCCGUGCAUCAUUUUCAGGUCAUUCAGUUUUUACAGUUCCAUCAUCUUGAACUUAUGCACAACAUCGGAAGGUCAAAUGUACAGCUAAGAUUUACGGAGGCUACUCACAACUCAAGGCUGUAGAUCUUCAACAGCAUCUGGCAACGAGGGCGUGGAUUGAUCAGUCAUCCUGCUAGGCACUGGAGUGUUCCGUCGGGAUUGGCGUUUUGUGGCCACAGUCACACAACUCUCAUUUUCGUACUUUUCAAACGAGUAAUGAUCUUCAUCGUCGUCGUCGUCGCACUCUUUGAAAACUGGAUGGACAUAUGCACUUUGGAGGUAGCCUUUCAAGUUCAAGUUUGGUUCUCUUGCGCUUUCCAGAGUAUCUUUCAUCUUCGCUUCCUGAUUCCAUAAAAGUAAAGAACAAAGUAACUUUUAGAGAGAGAGAGAGAGAGAGAGAGAGAGAGAGAGAGAGAGAGAGAGAGAUCUCGACAAACUAAAAGUUAAAAAUUAAAAAAUAANNNNNNNNNNNNNNNNNNNNGAGAGAGAGAGAGAUCUCGCACAAAGUAUUAAAAAAAUGAACUAACAUAGGUAAUAAGACGACUCAAAACUGACAUACCUGUAAUGGAUAUCUAACAAAUGCAGGUUCAAAACGACCUUGGCAAUACUUAUAGAAUGCAAAGGUCAAUACUGGAAGUGCAAGAAGAAAUGGUGUAGACUGAGCAGCUUUUUUGGUAGUCAACAA